rnacentral:ribozyme from 12 species
AGUGAUAAAAAAGAAACAAACAAACAGAAAUAUAGAUAAAGAGACAAAUAUAUAAGAAUACACUUUUUACAUUCGUCCUUCUCUUUUUAUUUUCCCUUUUCCCUCUCAUUAUCCUUGUACUUUU